rnacentral:rRNA from 1 species
CGAGGGGCAGCAUGGUCUUAGCUUGCUAAGGCCGAUGGCGACCGGCGCACGGGUGAGUAACACGUAUCCAACCUGCCGUCUACUCUUGGACAGCCUUCUGAAAGGAAGAUUAAUACAAGAUGGCAUCAUGAGUCCGCAUGUUCACAUGAUUAAAGGUAUUCCGGUAGACGAUGGGGAUGCGUUCCAUUAGAUAGUAGGCGGGGUAACGGCCCACCUAGUCUUCGAUGGAUAGGGGUUCUGAGAGGAAGGUCCCCCACAUUGGAACUGAGACACGGUCCAAACUCCUACGGGAGGCAGCAGUGAGGAAUAUUGGUCAAUGGGCGAGAGCCUGAACCAGCCAAGUAGCGUGAAGGAUGACUGCCCUAUGGGUUGUAAACUUCUUUUAUAAAGGAAUAAAGUCGGGUAUGGAUACCCGUUUGCAUGUACUUUAUGAAUAAGGAUCGGCUAACUCCGUGCCAGCAGCCGCGGUAAUACGGAGGAUCCGAGCGUUAUCCGGAUUUAUUGGGUUUAAAGGGAGCGUAGAUGGAUGUUUAAGUCAGUUGUGAAAGUUUGCGGCUCAACCGUAAAAUUGCAGUUGAUACUGGAUAUCUUGAGUGCAGUUGAGGCAGGCGGAAUUCGUGGUGUAGCGGUGAAAUGCUUAGAUAUCACGAAGAACUCCGAUUGCGAAGGCAGCCUGCUAAGCUGC